CGAAAGCAUUGAAAGCUCGGUGUAGUUGCGGUCGCCAUUUUCUCGGGGAGUUAUCUGUCCGCCGUGUUUUUGAUUCCUGAAGUGUUUUUUCGGGUAAAGAUCUGCCGACAAUUAGAGCCCAUCUCGCGCGGGCGUCUAUCAAAUGGCUUGCUUGAACACUUUAAAACAAGAAAUUAAAACUCUCGAGUCUGUGUUUCCAAAGAGCCAUGAGAGGUUUCAGAUAAUGUCAGCGAGUGUCGACGAGCUCACCUGCAGGUUCGUCGGUAAAAAUGGGAAGAAAUAUGAGAUUCAUGCGAAUAUCACAGAAACCUAUCCUUCCACCCCACCAGUCUGGUUUGCAGAGUCAGAAGAAACAAGCGUGACAAAUGCAGUACAAAUUUUGAGUAACACCACAGGCCGGGACAACCAUGUAAUUAAUCAGGUGGGAAUUCUCUUAAAAGAAUUGUGUCGUUUGCACUCAUUGCCUGAACCACCUGACGUUGAACGACUGAGAACUGCAUUGGAUCCGCUUCGACUGGGAGGAGCAGCUGCAGCUGUAACUCAAAGAAUGGAGGCUGAGGAUGCGGAAGAUAUAGAAGAUGAUGAAGAAAGCGAGACUGAAGAGGACCUACAUUUAGACAUGGACGAGGGAGAGGCUAAUGCCAAGAGUAAGGGUGAUGAAAUGGACCUAGAGCACCUGGCGACACUUGAAAGGUUGAGACAAAAUCAGAGACAAGAUUAUUUAAAAGGAUCAGUGUCGGGCAGUGUUCAAGCGACUGAUCGACUUAUGAAAGAAUUGCGUGACAUAUACCGAAGUGAUAGUUUCAAAAAAGGAAUGUACAGCAUAGAACUUGUUAAUGAUAGCUUGUACGAGUGGAAUAUCAGGUUAAUGUGUGUUGAUCCUGAUUCCCCACUACACAAUGAUCUCGUCCUCCUUAAAGAAAAAGAGGGUAAAGACAGUAUUCUUCUUAACAUGCUCUUUAAGGAGACAUAUCCGUUUGAACCACCAUUUGUACGAGUUGUUCAUCCGAUAAUAUCAGGUGGCUACGUACUAGUAGGUGGUGCAAUUUGUAUGGAGUUACUAACAAAGCAAGGGUGGAGUUCGGCAUACACGGUAGAGGCCGUUAUAAUGCAAAUUUCCGCGACGUUGGUGAAGGGAAAAGCACGUAUACAGUUCCAAGGAGCAGGUGGUGGAGGAAAAGUAUGUGGCAGCCAAGGACAAUAUAGUCUGGCACGUGCUCAGCAGUCCUUUAAGUCCCUUGUGCAGAUACACGAAAAAAAUGGUUGGUUUACUCCACCGAAAGAGGAUGGCUAAUAAAUAGGAAAUAUCAACAAGCGACUACACGAUGCGUGCUUACAGCUGAGACUUUAAUUCGGUGUGUGCCCAACAAUUAAUUGUUACGAUAAUGAUUUGAUACACAAACACAACAUUAACUAGAUAUUGAGGCUAACAGCAUUAGAGGUUGUUAGAUAUCAUCGAUUAUACAGGCUGCAGCUGACUGGUCUUCGAGAAAGACAACAGAGAGCCUCUUUCGCAUGUAAGUGCAUUGCAUAUAUCAUAAAUUUUCAUGCGAUUUAUUCUUCCAUCGAAUUAUAUUAAUUACCCCGCAAACAUGUAGCAGAAUAUUUGUUAUUUAUUAUCCUCUUAACACACCUUUCAAUUUGCAUCUAUAAGUUUUGACAGCGAUGUGAACGUCGAAUAUUUUGCUGUUAGGAUUGACAUCUGUGCCUCUACAUAUUCCAUCAUUGUGUGCAUCGAUUGUUUUGAUUCUCCUGAUAAUUCUCGAUAAAUUCAUUAAAGAUCACAGAGCCAGUGGUUCUGUUUCAUUACAAAAAUAUGAGGCGGAAUGAAUAUUUCAAAUUUUGCGAUAAGCGUGUGUAUUAUCAACAAGACUCGUUUAAGACGUCUGCUGUAUACAAGAUAAAGAUUGGCAGCCAUAUCGUAGGCACACGCAACCAAAUAUGUAGAAUUACAGAAUGUGAUAAUCAUUGACAAAUUCAAUGUUGGAAAAUCUCGGUUGCGUUUGAUGUUGAUUAAAGAAUCUGCCUGUUUAUCUCAAGAUGUCUUACACGAGAAUUUCUUUUCACACAUCAAAUUCAAUAUGCAGUCCAAGUGAGGGCCACACGUUUUCCACAAGUCAAUCCAUAAAUGAUUGAAUUGAAAUAUUUAUUCUCAACAGCUGUAUAUAAAAUUUACUAGCGUUCUUAACUAGUAUACGACAUCGUGUUACAGACCUAUUCCAUGUAACUGCUAUAAGACUUUCUGCAAAUAUAAGUUCAAACACGAAAGCUUUGUACGAUUUUUGUCGUGCAUAUGACGCAAACCGUAGAAUACUUUGUAAGAAUGUAUGUGCGUGUAUAUUAUCCAAUAGACAGUGAGCUUGAGUGAGAUUGUGCAUUUCUAUUUGUUAUAUCGUGUAUUUCUGUAUGUUCCACAUGAAACAUCAUAUAUCUACUAGUUUCUUAUAUUGAAUUCGGUGUGCAGUUAUAACAUUUAGAUCUCGUUUAAUACAUACAUAAAAUGUAAAUAACUGAUAAGUCGCACACGACAUUGGCUUCAAAGAGUUUUCAAAUUAUUGGUAAAUUUUUAAUUUCCAAAGACAGAAAGAAAUGGGAAAAGUAGUAAGAAAAGUACGAGAAAACGGUUUGGUUGUGUGCGCAUCUCAUAGAUCAUCAGCACCAUUGAAAAACUGCCAUUCAGCCUUACAGUAGAAAUCAACUUAGGCCGGUGUUUCCAGUGCAAGAAGAAUUGAGCCACGUCUCGUACAAAAGAUCCAAAAUGUAUAGAUUGUUUCAAACUGAACGAGAUUUGAACCGUUGAACAGGCAUUCGUAAUCAUAUUUUCUCAAUUCUUGUAUGCACCAUAGAAACUGUUAAAAAUUAGGUACUUGUCUGCCUUAAAUUAUUUUUAUAUGUUGAGUGAAACAAAACUUUGCUUACAAAUUGAUAAUCCUUCCGUGAUAAAUCAGAAUACACUGGAAUGUAUAUAAAAAUUAACGUGGCAAUGCAUUAUGAAAUAAUCUUAAUGGAAUAACCCAUUCUACAUCUUUUACUAACUUAUAAUAUUUGGAUGCAUAAACAUUUUGAUGCCCCCUGGAUCUUUUGACAAUGUGGUCCAAUUGUUAUUUGCCAAUAAAUAAAUAAACAGUAUACAACUAACUAUCUGCUGGCCACUCACGAUAUUUAUAUUUCACAAUCCAUUCUGUUCGUAUUGAUAUUUCAUUUUUCAACCUGUUGUAAUCCGAACGAAGUGAAAGAAAAAAAAAAUCAUUGACAUUCUAAUGGUAUUUUGCUAUCACGCAAAAUUCCUAACAUGCCAAGCUUAAACAUAGUCACUAAUUGUUAGAAGGCAAAAGGAUCUAUCUGUUGUUAUGGUUAAAUUAGCAGAGUUGUAUGGUAAAUGAAAUGUGAAGCGGGCAGUUUUGCCAUAUAUUGAAUUGUUUGUUGAUUCCAACCUUUUGAUUCCAAUAAUUACAUUGUUCAAUUAUUGUAUAUUAUUCAACUACUUUUGAAGUUGAGUUACUGUUAUACCUGUAGAGGUUGCUGUGUAACUCUACAAAUUGGAAUGGAUCGAUCCAUUUGCUCUGUGACUAUGGUAAUGUUGACCUCAUCUCACUCCACAUUAUUGAUAAGAGGCAAGAGAAUUCGAACCUUAUUUUACCCAAUGAUUACUUUGCAUCGAAAUAGGAUUAUCAAUCUAUUUUGUAUUAGCAACUUUAUCUGGUGAUUCAUUUUAAAAUGACUUGCUCCGAAUAUUUUUACUUUCCGAUGAUGAAACUUUUCCCAUAAAGCCAAGGUAGAUAUUACCUGUACCAUCUCUAACAAAUCAAGUUUACAAAUUAUUAUCAAAAAUUUCCCAAUUUUUAGAUUAAAACAACCUCAUACCCUAGCAAAUCAGUAGGAUAUUUUUUGCAUACUUAGUAAAUACAAAUAACAUCUAAAACAGACAAACAACCUAGCUUUGUUACUAAUUGGUAAAGUAAGGAUAUUUGUGGCAAAAAUUGAACUCAAAUCUUCAUUGAUUAUUUCCGUCAGUUCGCGCAAGUGAUGAUUCAAGUAAUUGUUGUGUGCAAAUUCCUUAGAUAUUAAUGGAAGUGAUUGUGCGAGAAUGUAAUAUUGAACAAGCAAGCUUGUAGCUGGAUUAUUCUUGCAUGACUGUGUGCAACGUGUGAUCAACCUCCGAAUACAAACAUAAGUCUUGUACGCCGUGUUCAGAGGAUAAUAUGAUAUUAAUUUCUCAUAUUACUUCACAACGCAAAUAAAAAUAUGGAAGAGAGUGCUGGCUGCCAUGGUGCGGUAAAGUACAGUCUGUAGACAAAACUGUCUACUUUUUAUUUGAAGCCUGCUGUUAUUGUUGUUGUUAUUAUUGUCGAUAUUACUCAUGUCGCCAUUCUUAUUAUUUGUAUUAUUGUGACCAUCCCUGCUAUUGCGUCUAGAUAAAAUUCUAUCGUCACCAUAUAGAUAUGUGUGUAUAUUUACUAUUUAGUGUCUUAGAUCCAUUUGCCUUCAAAACAUUUCACGUAGAAAUCAGGCUGGAAGCAAUUCUGAUAAUUUGAUUGCAAAGCUAUUUGUCAUGAAAUUGAGGUCUGAAAUAAUAAUAAACAAUUCAAUUAAUUUACUUGCAUCUGUGCCCAGCACUCUAUUCGGCUAAUGUAAAUGCUGUUAGCCAACCAUUCAUUGUACGGUAUACUUAGGAUCAUAACCAUCAGUCAAAGAACAUACUAUUCAUGUAUUUACACUACCAUUAUGAAUUUGACGUUACAAAUUUUAGUAUAAUAUGUUAUUAUAUUUUUCCUUUUACUCCAGAAUUUCGUAUUAGAUUAUGUUAAUUAUUAUUUAGGAGAACGCUAUGAGGAUGAAUAAAGAUUUUAAUAAAAA
rnacentral:misc_RNA from 1 species